CAGUGGGGAAUUUUGCGCAAUGGGGGAAACCCUGACGCAGCAACGCCGCGUGAGUGAUGAAGGCCUUCGGGUCGUAAAGCUCUGUCAGAGGGGAAGAAAUGCAGGGGUGCUAAUAUCAUCUUUGCUUGACGGUACCCUCAAAGGAAGCACCGGCUAACUCCGUGCCAGCAGCCGCGGUAAUACGGAGGGUGCGAGCGUUGUUCGGAAUUAUCGGGCGUAAAGCGCGUGUAGGCGGUUUGGUAAGUCUGAUGUGAAAGCCCCGGGCUCAACCUGGGAAGUGCAUUGGAAACUGUCAGACUUGAAUACGGGAGAGGGUAGUGGAAUUCCUAGUGUAGGAGUGAAAUCCGUAGAUAUUAGGAGGAACACCGGUGGCGAAGGCGGCUACCUGGACCGAUAUUGACGCUGAGACGCGAAAGCGUGGGGAGCAAACAG
rnacentral:rRNA from 1 species